rnacentral:lncRNA from 1 species
UAGACUAAUAAAAAUGCAAAAAUUUCCCAGAAGCUGCAUAAAUGCUAAAUUACCUUUUUAAAAUAUAUUUUCUGAUCUUUCAUCUCUGUGUAGGAAGUGGACACCGUGUGAUAAAAGAUCUGCGAUGGGUGGUUUUCCCUUCUGAAUGUGUGUUUGUCUUGGUCUGGUGUUCUUUAUGUAAGUUCUGUGAUUUACUUUAUAAAUUAUUGUAUUUAUGCAUUAUUAUUUCAGAUUUCAUUACAUUUUUGUUUCCUGUUUUUUUUACAGGUUUCUACUAUUAUGAGUUUAAAGAAAUUAAAUUAAUGGUAAAGAAAUUUCAACAGAUAUGUGGGAGGAAGCGGUCUGAGCAAGUAACAGAUCCUCCCAGCAGAUCGAACCCUCGUCAGCAGGAAUCAGAUGCAGGUGAAGAGAUAGCUCUUCAGCCUUCUUCUCCACAGCAACCUGUGGACGGAUCAGGAACACAGACAGACCCCCCUGCACCAGCAGCAGAAGAGACAGAUCAGCUUCUCAAUCCAAAUCAGAGCGAAGAGAAGAACCCUGCAGAGCUGAGAGCCAGAAGGAACAUCUAGAGAAGAACCAAGGGAAUUCUGUAAAAUGUGUGUAGCCAGUGCAGCAACACUGGACUGGAUUACAGGUCCAUCUAGGUCUGUCUAGAAGUUUGAACUUGAUGGAUGCUUAAAUGUCCUAAAAAGACGUAAAUAGAAGGACAUUUAAGUACAUUUUCUUCACUACUGUAGUUUGUAGUUGAUACUAAACUACUGUGAGUUGUCCCUUUCAUAGUGAAAAGGUUUUCAUGUCCAGCUGGUCUGGUCUGAGCUUUAUAGUGGUGGACAGGUUCUUAUGUUCAGUCUUGCACGGUUUUCCACGGUUAAUUGUUCACAUUUGUAUUCUGUUGUGUCUUUUUGUGCUCUGUUGAGCUCUGGUGUUCAGCCCUUCGCUGGUGUUGUGUUGUGUGUUGCACCAUGGUUCUGGAGGAACGUUCACAUUUUACUGUCUACUCUGUAGCUGGUUGAUUUCAUGUCCAUCAGACAUUCUUAGAGAUUCAGGAGAGGCUGCAGUUCAGGGUUUUAAAUGAAGAGGAUGGGAUGAAGGAGAUUCUUACAAAUGCUUACAUACCCACUAACCAUCCUUAACUGCUAAUUCUUUAGCAUGUUCACAGCUGCUGGAGCCCACAGACACACAUACACACUCACACACACUCCACACACACACACUCAGAUUGUCCAUGGCUUUGGACGGCAGGAGGAAAUCGGAGAACCUGGUGGAAAACACGACCUUGGAGGUGUGAGGCCGGUCAACAUAAAAAAAC